GUGUGCGAGUCAUUGGGUAUAUUGUUGAAACCUAAGGGCGCAAUUAAAAUAACUAUUUUAUGGGAUUACAAGUGAAUUAAAUUUCAUUUCUUCAUCCCGGGGCGUUCUAUACGAACAUGGUGCAAGCAAUUGAACCCUCUGUUCAAGAGCGUACCUUGAGCAUACAUGCUGUGACCCGAAAGAUGGUGAACUAUACCUGAUCAGAUCGAAGCCAGGAGAAAUUCUGGUGGAGGAUCGAAACAGUUCUGACGUGCAAAUCGAUUGUCAGAAUUGGGUAUAGGGGCGAAAGACCAAUCGAACCAUCUAGUAGCUGGUUCCCUCCGAAGUUUCCCUCAGGAUAGCUGGCGCAAAGAAUUAUAUUGUAUAUAAUCUUAUCUGGUAAAGCGAAUGAUUAGAGGCCUUGGGGCCGAAACGACCUCAACCUAUUCUCAAACUUUAAAUGGGUAAGAACCUCAUCUUUCUUGAUCUGAAGAUAUUGGGGUUUAGAUAUAUUGUGCCCAGUGGGCCACUUUUGGUAAGCAGAACUGGCGCUGUGGGAUGAACCAAACAUGAUGUUACGGCGCCUAAAUUAAUGACUCAUAUUGAUACCAUGAAAGGCGUUGGUUGCUUAAAACAGCAGGACGGUGGACAUGGAAGUCGUAAUCCGCUAAGGAGUGUGUAACAACUCACCUGCCGAAGCAACUAGCCCUUAAAAUGGAUGGCGCUCAAGUCAUAUGCCUAUACAUCAUCGCUAGAAUAAAAAUUGUUGACCAUUUUGGUGAUCAUUAUGAAAUUCUAGUGAGUAGGAGGGUACAAUGGUGUGCGCAGAAGUGUUUGGCGUGAGCCUGCAUGAAGCCGCCAUUGGCACAGAUCUUGGUGGUAGUAGCAAAUAAUCGAAUGAGAUCUUGGAGGACUGAAGUGGAGAAGGGUUUCGUGUGAACAGUGGUUGAUCACGAGUUAGUCGGUCCUAAGCUUUAUGCGAAAGCUGUUUAAUUUAUGUUACACACAAAAUUUUUGUUGUACAUAAUUCAAUAAAAGCGAAAGGGAAUACGGUUCCAAUUCCGUAACCUGUUGAGUAUACGUUUGUUUAUUAAAAAUGGGUCUUAUUACACUCAUCCUGGCAACAGGAACGACCAU
rnacentral:rRNA from 1 species